rnacentral:rRNA from 1 species
GGAGCUUGCUCCCUGAUGUUAGCGGCGGACGGGUGAGUAACACGUGGGUAACCUGCCUGUAAGACUGGGAUAACUCCGGGAAACCGGGGCUAAUACCGGAUGGUUGUUUGAACCGCAUGGUUCAAACAUAAAAGGUGGCUUCGGCUACCACUUACAGAUGGACCCGCGGCGCAUUAGCUAGUUGGUGAGGUAACGGCUCACCAAGGCAACGAUGCGUAGCCGACCUGAGAGGGUGAUCGGCCACACUGGGACUGAGACACGGCCCAGACUCCUACGGGAGGCAGCAGUAGGGAAUCUUCCGCAAUGGACGAAAGUCUGACGGAGCAACGCCGCGUGAGUGAUGAAGGUUUUCGGAUCGUAAAGCUCUGUUGUUAGGGAAGAACAAGUACCGUUCGAAUAGGGCGGUACCUUGACGGUACCUAACCAGAAAGCCACGGCUAACUACGUGCCAGCAGCCGCGGUAAUACGUAGGUGGCAAGCGUUGUCCGGAAUUAUUGGGCGUAAAGGGCUCGCAGGCGGUUUCUUAAGUCUGAUGUGAAAGCCCCCGGCUCAACCGGGGAGGGUCAUUGGAAACUGGGGAACUUGAGUGCAGAAGAGGAGAGUGGAAUUCCACGUGUAGCGGUGAAAUGCGUAGAGAUGUGGAGG